rnacentral:rRNA from 1 species
UACGUAGGUGGCAAGCGUUGUCCGGAUUUACUGGGCGUAAAGAGCGCGCAGGCGGUCGUGCAAGUCGCGUGUGAAAGCCCCCGGCUCAACUGGGGAGGGUCACGCGAUACUGCUCGACUCGAAGGCAGGAGAGGGAAGUGGAAUUCCCGGUGUAGUGGUGAAAUGCGUAGAUAUCGGGAGGAACACCAGUGGCGAAGGCGGUUCUCUGGGCCUGUACUGACGCUGAGGAACGAAAGCGUGGGGAGCGAACAGG